ensembl:lncRNA
CUCCAAUUUAUAGGAGGGAGAGGAGGUUCUUUGAAAUAUGAAUGCCCGGCGUGAGAUUAAGAAACAACGGUUCAAAUGUUGGUCCGACCAGUUUAUUACAAAUGUUAAUAAGGGAGAUGGGGAAAGGGGAAGACGGACACUAUUAAGGAUUGGGGUGAUGGGGAAGGGAAGGCGAGCGAUAGAAAAGAUAGAAAGAGGCAUGAAUUGCGUAAAGAGGGGAUAGUCACCACCAGGAUCCAGCAGCAGUCCCGUUGCACGACGUUCCGACGGUCCGAGGCCGAAGGGCAGGAGCAGCGAGGCCGGUCUUGGGCAACGAGAGGGUGCAGGUACCGGGUGGGUCCAGGAAGAAGCCGCAGAGUAAGCCCAGGAGGAAGCAGCAGGUCUCAGGUAGCGGGCCCAGGGAAGUCCGUCAGCAAACGGUCUGUAGAGAAGGAUCUGAAGGCAGAAACCUCGAGUCGUGGUGAGAGAUCAGCCUCUCUGUUGUGGUGAAGGAUCAGAUGGCGGAGAACCCCUCAAGUCUAUCGUGGUGAGAGAUAAGCCUCUACCUCGCCGUGGUUGUUGGACCCUCUUUUAUCCUCCGUUUUCUCCUGCCUACGUGACAUCCCUGGGUGCUUGAGCAAGAGUCAUGUGCAUACCUCCUGAG